GUUUUAGGCAGCCUACUCCAUGGGGACUAGCACACUCAGAAUUCCCCCAUCCUAACUAGUGCCUGUGCUUGCCUUCCCUGGAAGGUCAUGUGCAAAUUCCAGCAAUGUGGUAUCAGAAACCAGACUACAAUUUCUUCGAAACCUAUAAGAGUUACCGAAGGCUGAACCCCAGCCAGCCAUUUUAUAUCCUCAAGCCCCAGAUGCCAUGGGAACUGUGGGACAUCAUUCAGGAAAUCUCUGCAGAUCUGAUUCAGCCAAAUCCCCCAUCCUCCGGCAUGCUGGGUAUCAUCAUCAUGAUGACGCUGUGUGACCAGGUAGAUAUUUACGAGUUCCUCCCAUCCAAGCGCAAGACGGACGUGUGCUAUUAUCACCAAAAGUUCUUUGACAGCGCUUGCACGAUGGGUGCCUACCACCCGC
rnacentral:lncRNA from 1 species